UGGGGAAUAUUGGGCAAUGGGCGAAAGCCUGACCCAGCACCGCCGCGUGAAUGAUGAAGGCCUUCGGGUUGUCAAAUUCUUUGGACAGGGACGAAGAAAGUGACGGUAUCUGUAGAACAAGCCACGGCUAACUACGUGCCAGCAGCCGCGGUAAUACGUAGGUGGCAAGCGUUGUCCGGAAUUAUUGGGCGUAAAGCGCGCGCAGGUGGUUUAGAAUGUCUGAUGUGAAAGCCCACGGCUCAACCGUGGAGGGUCAUUGGAAACUAAUAAACUUGAGUGCAGGAGAGAAAAGUGGAAUUCCUAGUGUAGCGGUGAGAGGCGUAGAGAUUAGGAGGAACGCCGGUGGAGAAAGAGGGUUGUUGGCCUGGAAAUGACACUGAGGCGCGAAAGCGUGGGGAGCAAACAGG
rnacentral:rRNA from 1 species